rnacentral:rRNA from 1 species
CUGGCGGCGUGCCUAAUACAUGCAAGUCGAGCGAACAGAUAAGGAGCUUGCUCCUUUGACGUUAGCGGCGGACGGGUGAGUAACACGUGGGUAACCUACCUAUAAGACUGGGAUAACUUCGGGAAACCGGAGCUAAUACCGGAUAAUAUUUCGAACCGCAUGGUUCGAUAGUGAAAGAUGGUUUUGCUAUUACUUAUAGAUGGACCCGCGCCGUAUUAGCUAGUUGGUAAGGUAACGGCUUACCAAGGCGACGAUACGUAGCCGACCUGAGAGGGUGAUCGGCCACACUGGAACUGAGACACGGUCCAGACUCCUACGGGAGGCAGCAGUAGGGAAUCUUCCGCAAUGGGCGAAAGCCUGACGGAGCAACGCCGCGUGAGUGAUGAAGGUCUUCGGAUCGUAAAACUCUGUUAUUAGGGAAGAAUAUACGUGUAAGUAACUAUGCACGUCUUGACGGUACCUAAUCAGAAAGCCACGGCUAACUACGUGCCAGCAGCCGCGGUAAUACGUAGGUGGCAAGCGUUAUCCGGAAUUAUUGGGCGUAAAGCGCGCGUAGGCGGUUUUUUAAGUCUGAUGUGAAAGCCCACGGCUCAACCGUGGAGGCUCAUUGGAAACUGGAAAACUUGAGUGCAGAAGAGGAAAGUGGAAUUCCAUGCGUAGCGGUGAAAUGCGCAGAGAUAUGGAGGAACACCAGUGGCGAAGGCGACUUUCUGGUCUGUAACUGACGCUGAUGUGCGAAAGCGUGGGGAUCAAACAGGAUUAGAUACCCUGGUAGUCC